GUGCUUGCUUCGGCAGCACAUACACCAAAAUUGGAGCAAUACAGAGAAGAUUAGCAUGGCCCCUGCACAAGGAUGACAUGCAAAUUCGUGAAGCAUUCCAUACUUUU
ensembl:snRNA U6 U6 spliceosomal RNA